GAUGAAGAACGUAGCGAAAUGCGAUAAGUAAUGUGAAUUGCAGAAUUCCGUGAAUCAUCGAAUCUUUGAACGCACAUUGCGCCCCCUGGUAUUCCGGGGGGCAUGCCUGUCCGAGCGUCAUUGCAACCUUCAAGCGCGGCUUGUGUGUUGGGUCUCGUCCCCCGUGGACGGGCCCGAAAGGCAGUGGCGGCGUCCCGACAUGGUGCCCGAGCGUAUGGGAAUCCUCUUCCGCUCGAAUCGGCCCAUGCGGCGCUGGUCGUAACCAAAUUUUUUACCGGUUGACCUCGGAUCAGGUAGGGAUACCCGCUGAACUUAAGCAUAUCAAUAAGCGGUGGA
rnacentral:misc_RNA from 1 species